GCUCCACAGUGGCUGGGAAAUCUGCUGCAUGUCCAAAUGACAGCCUAAAGACCUCAGCGCAUUGCACCAUGCAAACAUGGGAGUUUCAGUCAAAGACCACGGGCAUAUGCAGAGAAGAGUCAAAGGUUUUCUUCAAAUGAUAGGAGGAGGAGGAGAGAACUAUUAUGGCUUUUUUUAUAGCAUAAUAAAACACAAUGAAAUUGCACAAAAUUAUGAGUUCUGAUCUCAAAAUUGUAUCUUUGGCUACCUGGCAAAAAAGCUUCAGCUUUACCACAAGCAACAGUCCCUGGAGAUAGGCUAGAGAUAGCAGAGCAGAACAGCAGGUGAAAAGGAGUGGACUGUUGCCAGAGAGGUGAUACUGGACACCACACAAACCUUCUUGGUAUGCUUAGGUGAAGCCAAGAAGGUGUCUCAUUGCCUGUCCUCAAGCUCCAAAGAAGCAGAAGUCUGCUUGGUUUAGGCACCAGGCUAGCUGCCUGGGAUCCUGGCAGACAUGGUGGCAGGGAAGUGGGCGAGCUGCAGGAGAAGAGCAUUAGGCUAAAUGUGCUGCCUGGAUGGCCCAGACCUCAGGAAUUACCCAGAGUUCAGAAGUGACAGAGACCUAAGAAAAGCUAGCAAAGCAGCCUUGCCUGAAUCUCUGCUGAGGUUCAGAGGAGCCCAGAAGUUUUUAUCAGCCAGUGGAACAGGCUGCCGAGGGAAGUGGCAGAGUCACCAUUCCUCGAGGUGUUUGACAGACAUGUAGAUGAGGUUCUUAGGGACAUGGUUUGGUGCCAGUAUUAGGUUAAUGGUUGGACUCGAUGAUCUCGAGGGUGUCUUCCAACUAAAAUGAUUCUAUGAUUCUAUUUUCUGGUGUCUUGGUGUUUUUCUUCACAGGCUCUGAAACCAGGGAGGGGCUGUACCCUGCUCUCCUCCGCUGCAGGACUCUGCAGUUUGCGGACACACGACUGCACAUGAUUGACAUAGACAUCCAUCCACUAGAAAGCCUUAGCAGCAUGCUCAGCAAUUGCAUUGAGAUUGAAGUAUCUGCAGUGCUGUUGCUCGCAGCAGCUCAAGGGUGACCAGCUCCUCUGAACAGUGCUUGGAGGUCGACGAGUGCUCAGACUUGCUCUUGGGACUACGGGGCAGCAGAAACAGAUGAAUGAAGACAGGGGAACAAGUCUAUGAAUCAGCCUCAGGGCACAGGGCGUUGUGGAACAAAAUGGGUCUGGACUGACACUGGCAUGCUUGUCGAGGAGAUAGACGCCUGUCUGGGUGCAGUGGAAAAAACUUUCUGAGUGGAGUGCUCAUGAACUAUUUUAAGGUUGCGGUGCUGUUCAUCUUACAAAGAUAACGCCUUAUGAGAAGAGGUUGGGUGAAGCAGCACUCCCUGCAGAGGGUACCCAGGGACGGAUGGGCUCCUGGUGCAGGUUCACCUUUUGUUAAUUUCCAACAAAUUCAGUAGCACACAAAACCAGAAAAGAGGAGAUUUCUGUCAUUUUGCUGCUCAUGGAACUGACUUCUCAUCUCGAUUAGAGAACUAUUUGUAUAACUGUACGGGAGGAAAAACCCGCUCAAUACCUCUCUGUGCUGAUUGCUGUCUAUAAAAAGAUCUCAACAACCUCUCCUGUGAAAAGCGCUCACACCUCCACGCUGCAGCAUGCCUUUGAUGCUUUAGCAAGUGGGUUCUCCUCAGGCUACUGAAGCGCCUUUCCUUUGUCUUCUGCACUGCUCAGCUCCUGCCAGCUCGCACUUGGCGGAGGUGAACCCCCUAGGUAGGUCAGGAGCCCUCACCUCAGUCUUCCUAUGCCUUCUCAUUACCUUUCCUUUUUGGAAGCAAUAAGUUAAGACUCACAUUCUACUUUAGAGGAAUAAACCAAACCUUUGUCAGAGCUAGAGUUUCAUGCUGAGAUUAACAUUUAUCCUCUUUGGGGACAUGUGUGCUGCUAUGACAGCCACAUCCACAGCUGAGAUCCCCCCAAGAGUACCAUGCUCACAAGAAAUAGGAUGCUGAAAUCACAGCCUUCUCAAGGGUCACCCACUCCCUCUCCACUGAGGCAAAAUCAGGCAGAUCAAAUAUUUACUAGAAAUGGAUCCAGUGAAGGCUCCUCACCACCCUCAGCCACUCAGUGCUUCUCCCUUCUCAUCAUCAGAAAUCUGCUUCCCAGUGUAAGCUUGAACCUCUCAAUACUUCCAACAUUUGCAAGCACAUUAAAGAAAUUGUUUCCCUCCUGUUAAUAGCACUGAUGGAAGGAAUUAUAUGUUGUCUCCUUCAGACCUGAUCUUCCAUCCUCUUCUCAUGGCUCACAUGUUUUAGAUGUCUGCUGCUGCCUGUGCUCUUCUGCAGCCCAUGUCUUUGCCUUGAAGUCAAUGCUAUGCUUACCUGAGGACUGCAAUAAUCCUGCAAGGGCUUUUUCUACCUGAUAUCAAAGACAAAUUGUUCAAAUUUUGAUCCCAUUGUAAGGACCAGCCUACCUUUUUCACAAAAGCUGGAGUCAGCAAGAGAGAUUUAAGUUAAGCAGCAUUUUUCCUGUUACCUAAGACCUUUUUACUUUGGACUGGGUGUAAAAUUAGUUCCACAGUUAUCACUAAAAUAAUGUAAUGCUUCUACCCAGAUUAGCAAAAAAUGCCUGAUUAGUCCCCUAAAAACUCCUAAGUGCCUAAAAGUUGUGGUUGUAGCUCACAGAGGCUUUGGAUCCAGCUCCAUAACAAACUGCAGUAGACAUCCUACCCUAUUGCCUCUGAUUGCUUUUGGAUCAUUCCCCGCAACUCCGAUUUGAUUUGAUCUAACUAUAGCUCGCUGGGAAAUGACAAUUCAUGGUUAGGCAAUUUUCAAAGUCUAAUUGCUCCAGAGUUUUCUCAGUACUUCAGAAUUUCUUAAUUGUAUUAGCCAAGGUGAGGAUAAUUGCUGCUUUCAUAUCCUUGAAACUUCUCAUACAAAAGAGGCUUAUGCAAGAAUCUGCUCAUUCUCUUCAAUAAAUGAUCUCUCUGUUAUUAAGGAGUGUGCAUUGGGGGACUGCUGGGAAGCAUUCCGCUGCACCAUUAUGUACUUGAACAAAACCUGAAACUUGCAGAUACAAGACUAAAUUAUAGUCUGGGGCAAUCAUCAGAACACACUUUUUUGUUGUUUGUUUUUUUUUUUUUCCCUGGAGGUUGCUUUUUCAGAAGAAACAGCCCAAGUCUACAAAUAACCCAGUAUUUUGCACUUUGGGGAUCUUCUGGGUGUGUGAAACCUCCUAUUUAUAUGUUGCUGGUGCCCUGACAUUGCUCCUCAUCACAGAUACUGAUGGUGUUCCAUUUAAAACUAAAAGUCUGGGCCAGUCAGUGGCCUUAUUUUUGCUUUGUUCAUGAAAUCUUCAAGCAGGGACCAUUUCAUCCCGUUUUUUUCACAGCUUCAGGACCUUGAGCAAUAUGUAGGGCUUCUAGAUGUCUGGGUAUUGUAGCUGUGUGCUUGUGCCUGAAGUGCAAUAAAGUCACUCCAGCAGAGAAUUAGGCAUAAUGUUCUUACAUAAGCUCCAGCAAUUAAAUGUAAACAUAUGCAUGCACAAUCAAAUGCCAUGUACCAGUUCUGACACUACAACCAUUAUAAAAAAAAAAAAAAAAAGAAGAAGAUAAGAUGAACCAUGUAUUUUCUAUCACACCAAUUCAAUAGACUGAAUGUGGGAAAGAGGCAUUCCAUGAGUCAAACACUUAAUCCAAGAAGUAUGUUUUACACAAAUUGCUGAUAAGGUAAGCAAAUUUCACAGCCUGUUCCGGGAAAAUUAUACAUUUCAUGGUGCUUUAUAGAAGACAAGAAAUCCUACUGAAAUCCUGAAAAAAUAUGUAUACAAGUUAAGGUGGAUGAUGGAAACGAUCCAUGAUUUUGGAUGCAGAAUAAGUGAAAUUAACAUCUCCUAAGGAUAAUAGCAAGUAUCAUAGAGGUUUUACACAGAAUCCUUGGUAAGAAGUAAUCUUAUCAUAAUUACAGGACCAAUUUCUCUUGCACUGCAUGAAAUAAUGCUCAGAAAUGGCCUAAAUAUUUCUUUCAGUUGCUAGACAAAUUUAGGUAAUAAAUAAGAUGGAGACUAACAAUGAGCAUUUGAAGGACUGUGAGAAUAUCAGAACUUCCAGGUA